AUGUAUGCAUAUGUGUGUGUGUGUGUGCAUGUGUGUGUAUGUGUGUGUACAUACACACUCAAUA
rnacentral:miRNA from 1 species